AGAUAAUUAAACUAAAAAAUUUAAAAAAAAAAAAAAAAUCGAAAUAUUCCCUAAAAUGUCACGUUGACGUUUCUAUUGGGUCGGGACCAGUCUUGUUGAAACCAAUUUGCAAGUGUAUUCUGAGUGCGCGUUAACGAAUUACUCGCAUUCGAAUCAAUACAGUACUUAAAUAAAAAUAAAAAAAAAUAAUAAUAAUAGAAAAAAAAAAACACUCG